UCCCUGAUGGUCUAGUGGCUAGGAUUCAGCACUUUCAGUACUGAGGCCUGGGUUCAAUUCCUAGUCAGGGAA
rfam:Pelodiscus sinensis unplaced genomic scaffold scaffold5174, whole genome shotgun sequence.